UUUUGGUGAGUUAUUGAAGCACUGUGAAAGAUAUCGGUGCUGAAUUUCAAAAUAACUCGAAUAAGGAAUUGAUAUUUUAUAAUUAUUAUGAAUAUGCUUCUAUGAUUCAUAGCACAACAAAUAUGAAUAGAUAACUGGAGGAGUAGAAUUCGAAUCCACUAUUAUCUGACUGUAAUAAUUAAUAUAAUAACAAAGCCACAAUAUAUAGGUGUUAUUUGCUAAUCAAUUCCUUAUAUUCCUACAGAAUACACAGUUUUUCAGAGAAGAUGAAGAAUAAAUAAUUAUGGUUUACGGUUUACCGCUCAUCUGUGGUGGGGAGGUGAAAAAUUAAUUCGAAUUAGCCCGCCAAAUAAUAUUCAUAUAUAUUUUCAAUAUAUUGAAUAAAAUUCUAUUUCCUUCAAGUAUUAAUUUGAAUAAGCGAUAAUUAGUAUAAUUCCUCUUUCUGUGUGAAUGAUUCUUCUACUAUCUUGAGAUAGAAAAUGAUUUGGAGUAUUCAUGCACGCUGUAUCAACAAUUUGAAUGAUUGAAUAUGAAGACCAUAGAAUAAUGAAGAUUUAGAAUUAUGUGGAUGGUACCAUAUGUUUUUUGAAAGUGUUUAUUAUAUUAACAUAUUUAUUAUAUUAACAUUAGUUGGCCUAUGGGUGCGAUUGUUUGUAAUCUAGGAAUGAAUUCGUUUUGGAAGUCUAUUGUAAUAUGUACAGUUAUCAUAGAAAUAAUAUGACUGUAUGUCUAUGAUUGCGAUACAGUAAAUCUAUGCAUAAAUUAAUGAAUCUAUGAUUUUAUGAAUCUAUUGUUUUAUGAUCAUAUAAACGAUUCGUAUCGAUAACGAAGAAGUGAAUUUCAAGUAGGUGCAUUAUUGGGCGAAUAUAUAGUGAUUAAUUAAAUACACAAUUCAAAAUCUGCUUCAGAUUUACUGGGAUCACAGCAGAUAAUAAUUGGCAUCUUCGGUCUGAAAAAAGCAACCUUGUGAAGAUAUUGAUAAUUGGGAAUAUAAAACGAAUAGGUUCGGAAGUAAAUACCUGGUUGUGAAAAAUACUGACUGCAGUUAGUUAGGAACUUAUAUUACUUUGAGUGCGUAAAAUGAAAAUUAAACGUAAAACUAAGCCGUGGAAGAAAGUGAAGGGCAAAAACAAAGCCGCAAAAAAGGAGAUAAAAGGUAGGUUCCAUUUCGAUUAUUUUCUCAUACUGAUUUCGUAAAAAAGCUUCCAAUUAUAUG